rnacentral:lncRNA from 1 species
AGCGGGACCGGGAGCGGGACCGCGCCUCGGGCCCUGAGCGGGCACCCGUGUGCCCCUCAGCCACCGGCCGCCGCGGGUGGGCUGCUGUAAGGAAGUUUCCCGAUCUGCGUUGUGAUAAGCAGCUGUCCCCAAACAUCGGCAGAAAGAGGGAAUGAGGCUGAGUAAGAUCCAGACCUCUGCCAAUCCAAAGGGAAACAUCUAAACCCACCAAAUGCAUUGCAACCAUUCUGACAUGGAGUGACAAGACUCAAAAUCAGCACUGCAGGUAAAUGUGCAUCUUUGAGUUAUAGUGUUGUGUUGAAGCAUCACGCAGCCUUCUUCAGCUGCUGCUGUGCCUUAG